UCUGCUUGUUACCCUUCCGACGACCUAGAAUUUCAACGAAUUUCAGAUGAUCCAUUUCUUCAAAUAUGUACAUUCUUCGACGAAUACGAUAAAAGAAAUAGAUAACGGAGAAAAUGUAAAGCGUGUUCGGAUUAAAUAAUCUGAAAACAUUUUCACGGUUUUGUCAAUAAAGUAGUGGCAAAGUGAUUUUGUAGAUUGAAAAAUG